AGCAAUGGCAGUGAUAACAAGCAAAAAUAGGACAGGGGAGAAAGCCAAGAGUCUUCAGACCACAAGAGAAGGAGAGAUUAAUUCUGGAAAAUCCACCUGGAUGGACAGCAGCAGAGGGAGGAGGAGGCAGGACAGACCGGAAGAGAGACAAUGAGGUUCUGAACCUAGAUGGUGGCAAGGGAGCAGAGAAGGGCAGGUCAGGAGGCCCCCGCCCUGCAAUCACCCUUCCUGGGAGCCUUCACUUCACCUGUGAUCUCAAGACCUCUCCCUCCUGCCUGACUCGUGCCGAGCUUGUGGAACAUCUUCCCUUGAGGGUCGCAGUCCAUUCGAGGAGCCUUGUCACACGUCUUGCUUCUGUGGGGAGCUCAAGCUAGGACACCCCUGGAACACUCCCCAAGUCUCUUCCUUCCCAUCCAGCACCACUUCCCUAAGUCACAACUGCACCACCUCUCAUCUGGACUGCUCACAGCAGGAGGAGUCAGGAUCAAAAUAUCCAAAGAAAAAGUAAGAAUCUAUAUACAGGAAACAAAUAUGUGACGAUGACUGGAGCAGCUCAGAAUCAGAACUUGAGCAAGACCUAGGCUGCUUUGAUUUUCUGAACGUCUCGAAAUAUUAGGGGUGAAAAACAAAAUAAAAAAAGAAAAAAAAGAAGGAAUACCAAAAGCAAGUUACAUAAAGUAUGAGAUACAUUACA
rnacentral:lncRNA from 1 species